rnacentral:rRNA from 1 species
CUACACAAGCCCAUGGCUUUUGUUUGAAAGAUGGCUUUGGCUAUCACUCUGGGAUGGACCUGCGGUGCAUUAGCUAGUUGGUAAGGUAACGGCUUACCAAGGCGAUGAUGCAUAGCCGAGUUGAGAGACUGAUCGGCCACANUGGAACUGAGACACGGUCCAUACUCCUACGGGAGGCAGCAGUAGGGAAUCUUCCACAAUGGGCGCAAGCCUGAUGGAGCAACACCGCGUGAGUGAAGAAGGGUUUCGGCUCGUAAAGCUCUGUUGUUGGAGAAGAACGUGCGUGAGAGUAACUGUUCACGCAGUGACGGUAUCCAACCAGAAAGUCACGGCUAACUACGUGCCAGCAGCCGCGGUAAUAACNAUA